UACGUAGGGUGCGAGCGUUAAUCGGAAUUACUGGGCGUAAAGCGUGCGCAGGCGGUUUUGUAAGCCAGAUGUGAAAUCCCCGGGCUUAACCUGGGAAUGGCAUUUGGGACUGCAAGGCUUGAGUGCGGCAGAGGAGACUGGAAUUCCUGGUGUAGCAGUGAAAUGCGUAGAUAUCAGGAGGAAUACCGAUGGCGAAGGCAGCCCCCUGGGUUAACACUGACGCUCAUGCACGAAAGCGUGGGGAGCAAACAGG
rnacentral:rRNA from 1 species